rnacentral:rRNA from 1 species
CACGUAGGGGGCAAGCGUUGUCCGGAAUCAUUGGGCGUAAAGAGUUCGUAGGCGGCUGAUCGCGUCGGUUGUGAAAGCUCAGGGCUCAACCCUGAGACGCCAAUCGAUACGGAUCGGCUAGAGGUAGGUAGGGGAAAGUGGAAUUCCUGGUGUAGCGGUGAAAUGCGCAGAUAUCAGGAGGAACACCGGUGGCGAAGGCGGGUCUCUGGGCCGAUACUGACGCUGAGGAGCGAAAGCGUGGGGAGCGAACAGG